rnacentral:misc_RNA from 1 species
CUUGGCGACUCUUAAGUCUUAAAGCUCCCUCAUUUUUAAUGGUGCUUUAAGGAAAAGAGCUCUAAAAAGCCUUUGUAUUAAGAGUAUGCCGGGGAAGGUUUUCCGGUUUAUCCCGGAGGGCUUGUAGCUCAGUUGGUUAGAGCGCGCGCUUGAUAAGCGUGAGGUCGGAGGUUCAAGUCCUCCCAGGCCCACCAAUCACUCUAUCAAUUUCAUAAAGCGCUAGCGAGCUUGCUUAUAGGAUAUUUGCCUAUCGAGUCUGCAAACUGCUAAAAUAAAGUCUACAGACCAAUUCUACAGACCAAUAAAGUCUAAAAAAUUGAAAGAGACGACAUGUCUUGUUCAGGAAUUCCUGAAAGGUAUUUUAAAAAGAACUGAUUUAAAAGCACUGAUCAUUUGUCAUAGGACUUAACCAGUGAUGUCAUCACUUAAAUUUUAUGAGUGAACUUGAAUUUUAUCAGUGAAGUUGCCACUUAAAAUGAAGUCUUAUUGAUGAUGAAGUUCUGUUGAUUCAGUCCGUAGAUGAAAAGUGGUUUGUUUGUCAGGGGUGCAGAGAGCAUUUAUCAUUUGCAAAGAACCUUUGUAAAAUGGAAGAGCUUUGCUGUUUGUUUUCAGCAAUCCAGUGUC